GCGAGCGAACGGGGAGGAGCCCAGAGCCUGAAUCAGCAUGUGUGUUAGUGGAAGCGUCUGGAAAGGCGCGCGAUACAGGGUGACAGCCCCGUACACAAAAGCGCAUGUGCUGUGAGCUCGAUGAGUAGGGCGGGACACGUGGUAUCCUGUCUGAAUAUGGGGGGACCAUCCUCCAAGGCUAAAUACUCCUGACUGACCGAUAGUGAACCAGUACCGUGAGGGAAAGGCGAAAAGAACCCCGGCGAGGGGAGUGAAAAAGAACCUGAAACCGUGUACGUACAAGCAGUGGGAGCACAGGUUUACCUGUGUGACUGCGUACCUUUUGUAUAAUGGGUCAGCGACUUAUAUUCUGUAGCAAGGUUAACCGUAUAGGGGAGCCGGAGGGAAACCGAGUCUUAAUUGGGCGUUAAGUUGCAGGGUAUAGACCCGAAACCCGGUGAUCUAGCCAUGGGCAGGUUGAAGGUUGGGUAACACUAACUGGAGGACCGAACCGACUAAUGUUGAAAAAUUAGCGGAUGACCUGUGGCUGGGGGUGAAAGGCCAAUCAAACCGGGAGAUAGCUGGUUCUCCCCGAAAGCUAUUUAGGUAGCGCCUCGUGAAUUCAUCUCCGGGGGUAGAGCACUGUUUCGGCUAGGGGGCCAUCCCGGCUUACCAACCCGAUGCAAACUGCGAAUACCGGAGAAUGUUAUCACGGGAGACACACGGCGGGUGCUAACGUCCGUCGUGAAGAGGGAAACAACCCAGACCGCCAGCUAAGGUCCCAAAGUCAUGGUUAAGUGGGAAACGAUGUGGGAAGGCCCAGACAGCCAGGAUGUUGGCUUAGAAGCAGCCAUCAUUUAAAGAAAGCGUAAUAGCUCACUGGUCGAGUCGGCCUGCGCGGAAGAUGUAACGGGGCUAAACCAUG
rnacentral:rRNA from 1 species